UCCCAUUCCGAACACGGCAGUUAAGCCCUCCAGCGCCGAUGGUACUGGGGUUCACCCCGGGAGAGUAGGUCGCCGCCAGAA
rnacentral:rRNA from 1 species